rnacentral:rRNA from 2 species
UGGGGAAUAUUGCACAAUGGGGGAAACCCUGAUGCAGCGACGCCGCGUGAGUGAAGAAGUAUUUCGGCAUGUAAAGCUCUAUCAGCAGGGACGAAAGAAGUUGAAAAAUACUUCCUGACGGUACCUGACUGAGAAGCCACGGCUAACUAAGUGCCAGCAGCCGCGGUAAUACGUAGGGGGCAAGCGUUAUCCGGAUUUACUGGGUGUAAAGGGAGCGUAGGUGGUAUGGUAAGUCAGGUGUGAAAGCCCGGGGCUCAACUCCGGGAUUGCAUUUGAAACUACCAAACUAGAGUGCAGGAGAGGUAAGUGGAAUUCCUAGUGUAGCGGUGAAAUGCGUAGAUAUUAGGAGGAACACCAGUGGCGAAGGCGGCUUACUGGACUGUAACUGACACUGAGGCUCGAAAGCGUGGGGAGCAAACAGG